AUGCGCCCCAUCUUAGACCUGAGAUUACUGAACAAAGCGCUCGCGAAACGCACGUUCAAGAUGAUAACGGUGAAGCAGAUCCUCGCGCACAUUCAGCCCGACGAUUACUUCAUUGCAGUGGAUCUGAAGGAUGCGUACUUCCACAUCCAGAUAGCCCCACAUCACAGGCGCUUCCUGCGUUUUGCAUUCGAGGGUGUGGCAUACCAGUUCAAAGUGUUGCCGUUUGGGCUCGCUUUGGCCCCCCGUGUAUUUACAAUGUGCAUGAAUACAGCGCUCGCUCCCCUGAAGCUCAGUGGAAUGCGCAUACUGAACUAUCUCGACGACUGGUUAGUCAUCGCGCGGUCGAGAAGCGCUGCAGAGUUUCCUUCCGUUCGUGAAAGACCGUCAUGUUCUCAUCAGAACGGACAACACGGCGGUGGUGGCGUACAUCAAUCGCCAGGGAGGUUUGCGUUCGCGAUCCCUGCAGGGAUUAGCGAGACAGCUGCUGUUAUGGACGGACAGGGUACUUCUGUCGAUUCGAGCAGUCCACGUACCGGGCAGUUUGAAUUGUGGCGCGGACAUGCUGUCCAGGGACGGCAUUGUACACGGAGAAUGGAGGCUCCAUCCGCAAACGAUAAAUAUGAUCUGGAAUCUGUUUGGCAGAGCGGAGAUCGACCUCUUUGCGUCGCAGGAGAACACCCACUGCCCUCUGUACUUCUCGCUGACAGCAUCCCCCCUGGGGGGAGACGCGCUGUCGAGCCGCUGGCCCAAGGGACGGAAGUAUGGUUUUCCCCCAGUCAAGUUAAUGCCGCUGGUGCUGCAAAAGAUCAGGGAGGAGAGAUGUGCGUUGAUUCUGGUAGCACCCAAAUGGCCCAACCAGCCGUGGUUCCCGGAACUGGUGAACAUGUCGCGCCUUCCCCCGUGGCGGAUCCCGCCGAGAAGGGACCUUUUAUCCCAGGCGAGGGGCACCAUAUGGCACCCCAACCCAGAGCUUUGGGACCUACAUGUGUGGCAGAUCAGCGUGGAGUAUAUCAGCGAGUGCUGCAGACAAUAGCAGAGGCUAGAGCCCCUUCGACGAGGCGCUUAUACACUCUGAAGUGGAAAGUAUUUGCUAACUGGUGUGUUGACAAAAAGGAGGACCCCAGGAGUUGCGAUGUCUCCAUUAUUCUGACCUUCCUACAGGAACGUCUGGAUGCUGGCAGUUCUCCAUCUACAGUGAAAGUCUACGUGGCCGCUAUCGCCGUUUUUCGUGACUUGUUAGACGGCCAUUCAGUGGGGAGGCACCCCCUGAUAACGAGCUUUCUCCGGGGAGCUAGACGGCUUAAUCCACCCCGCCUUCGUCAGAUGCCGGUUUGGGACCUGUCGUUAGUGCUUAGUGCGCUGUCCGACCCACCUUUUGAACCAGCCGAGUCUAGCGACCUUAAAGUGCUCUCAUUUAAGACGGCGCUACUGCUCGCGCUAGCUUGCGGGAAACGAGUGGGAGACUUGCAUGCCCUGUCAGUGAACAGCGCGUGA
rnacentral:lncRNA from 1 species